GAGAGAAAAAACCGAGGGUGAAGCUGCGUGUAUGCAGCAGGGUGAAAGAAACUGUUUAAUUAAAGUCUGACACCAGUGUUCGACCAGGACUCUUUGUGAGAUUUUAUGGUGACUUUUCUGUGAGUUUGUGUGGAUUACUCAAGCCGAGAAGAAGAACAAAGUUAAGCUAACUGCUAACGUAGUAGCUAGUGAUGCUGCGCAAGGCCUCGCUAACGAGCUAAAGACCAGUGACCUCUAUGGUGAAGUCUGUGUGGACUUGCCUGUGUGGAGCUGCCGUCGAUGGAGCUGAGUGCCAAAGUGUGGAUUGAGCCGGGAUCGUCAGCUACGUGAGUCUUCUCAUCUGCGUGGAUCGUCUCCUCCUCAUCACCUUUCCUCCUGCUUUUGCCGGCCUACAUCCUGCGUGUGCGUAGCUACAACACCUGUGGAUUAAGGAAUCACAGCAUGUCAAGAGAUGAAAGACAAAUGAACGAAGAAGGGUGGUGCCCCAAUCCCAAUAAACAAGUAUGAAAGAGAGGACUGACCACAGACUGAAGCAGCUCUCAGGAUGUUGAUACUUUAGUCUUGAGGCCAUUUGUGUCUUUAGUUUUGCAACUGUAAAAUUGUAUUAUUUAAAAUCCAUUUAGCCUUUUAAGUUUGUUUAGACCCACUGAUUGUUCAACAUCAUGAUGUGUUAAUCUACAAUAUUUGAAUUAUGUUAAUAAAGGGAGGGGAGAGGAGGAGAGGUGGAGUUAA